rnacentral:rRNA from 1 species
CAGUAGCCGCGGUAAUACGUAGGGUGCAAGCGUUAAUCGGAAUUACUGGGCGUAAAGCGUGCGCAGGCGGUUCGCUAAGACAGAUGUGAAAUCCCCGGGCUUAACCUGGGAACUGCAUUUGUGACUGGCGGGCUAGAGUAUGGCAGAGGGGGGUAGAAUUCCACGUGUAGCAGUGAAAUGCGUAGAGAUGUGGAGGAACACCGAUGGCGAAGGCAGCCCCCUGGGCCAAUACUGACGCUCAUGCACGAAAGCGUGGGGAGCAAACAGGAUUAGAUACCCCGGUAGUCCCUGUCUCUUAUAC